AUGCUUGCUUAGUCAAAGAAGAGAGACUAAACAAGGGUAAAAAUUUUAACAGUACAGAAUUUGCCAUCAUUUCAUUGCCUUGAUUCUAACUGUUUGUGUCCUAAGAUGCAAAAGAAGUCAGUGGCUUUUAACUGUUUACAAAUAGAAUGUGAUUGUAAAAUGUACAGUCUGGUUGUGUUUGAAUUAUGAACUUUCUUCAGAUAUAAUAAACCAUGACUUUUUGGCUGCUCAGCAUUAACUGUCUCUUUUUUGUGAAUUUAUUUGUACGCUCUUUUUUAUAACGAAAGUUUCAAAGUUGCUAUGUAUGAGGGUUCUCAUAGAGCAACCAAGUAAAAAAAAAAAAUCUAAGCAAAUAUUUGAACAUUUUAUCCGAACUUAUUCACACUUUCACCCUGAAAUAAUGUGAGAACAAUGGGAAACUGUUGCUUGCUCCUUCCUACCCUCUCUGAGCAUCUUUGGGAUCUUGUUGCUCAAACUCUCCUGUGACUUCAUCUUCCCCACCAUUUGUGCCCAUCUCAAGCCUCAGCAAGAGACCAUUUGGAACAUGAAGCUUAAUGACUUGACAUUGUUCUUAGUGUUAACUCUCAUACCUCUGUUACAAAAUGAGAAAUGCCACAGCCUGGACUGGCCUUUUUCUUCCCCCUUCACGGCCCUCGCUCCUCACCGCAGGAGCUUCGGGGACAGAACCUGUGUAUGUAUUUCAGCGUAUGACUUCAGAUCAUGCUCCAACUUGCCAGGUAGCUUUGAAAAACCACGUCUGGAAAUGUUUGGAACGUUAAGCUGAUUGACCUUUUGGGGCUUUGAGUAGUAUAUAAUUGACUUCAUAACUGCGUUAAUUGUAUUGUUAAAGUGUUUGGGAGUUUUUUGCGCUUGUUAUGUGGAAAUAAAGUGUUUGAUUUAAAAAAUUAAGAAGUGGUUUGGUGUUUGCCUGGUCCUUAAACAGUUCUAGUCCCUGAACGACUGUGUUCCUCCUAAACCUUCCUUAAUCUCUCUCAACUGCCCAUGCCUUAGUCUAGAUGAUUAGUCUGACCGUGACAUUGCCCUGACUCAGUGACCUUGAGUCACUAACAGCCUCUUAGAGUUGAUCUAAAUAUUUUAACACAUCUACCCAUGUGUUUCCAAAUAUAGAUCCCAGGAGCUACACAGCUCCUCUUCCCCAGGACGCAUCCUGGGCUCUAGACAUCCUGAGCUGCUCCCUGAGGGCCUGCCCAACGCUGCCUUCUCCUCAAAGACAGUAAUCCGCUGGGGUCAGCUUGCCUGGACUGGCAGCCAAAAUCC
ensembl:lncRNA